GAUGAACGCUGGCGGCGUGCCUAAUACAUGCAAGUCGAGCGAACGGACGAGAAGCUUGCUUCUCUGAUGUUAGCGGCGGACGGGUGAGUAACACGUGGAUAACCUACCUAUAAGACUGGGAUAACUUCGGGAAACCGGAGCUAAUACCGGAUGAUAUUUUGAACCGCAUGGUUCAAAAGUGAAAGACGGUCUUGCUGUCACUUAUAGAUGGAUCCGCGCUGCAUUAGCUAGUUGGUAAGGUAACGGCUUACCAAGGCAACGAUGCAUAGCCGACCUGAGAGGGUGAUCGGCCACACUGGAACUGAGACACGGUCCAGACUCCUACGGGAGGCAGCAGUAGGGAAUCUUCCGCAACGGGCGAAAGCCUGACGGAGCAACGCCGCGUGAGUGAUGAAGGUCUUCGGAUCGUAAAACUCUGUUAUUAGGGAAGAACAUAUGUGUAAGUAACUGUGCACAUCUUGACGGUACCUAAUCAGAAAGCCACGGCUAACUACGUGCCAGCAGCCGCGGUAAUACGUAGGUGGCAAGCGUUAUCCGGAAUUAUUGGGCGUAAAGCGCGCGUAGGCGGUUUUUUAAGUCUGAUGUGAAAGCCCACGGCUCAACCGUGGAGGGUCAUUGGAAACUGGAAAACUUGAGUGCAGAAGAGGAAAGUGGAAUUCCAUGUGUAGCGGUGAAAUGCGCAGAGAUAUGGAGGAACACCAGUGGCGAAGGCGACUUUCUGGUCUGUAACUGACGCUGAUGUGCGAAAGCGUGGGGAUCAAACAGGAUUAGAUACCCUGGUAGUCCACGCCGUAAACGAUGAGUGCUAAGUGUUAGGGGGUUUCCGCCCCUUAGUGCUGCAGCUAACGCAUUAAGCACUCCGCCUGGGGAGUACGACCGCAAGGUUGAAACUCAAAGGAAUUGACGGGGACCCGCACAAGCGGUGGAGCAUGUGGUUUAAUUCGAAGCAACGCGAAGAACCUUACCAAAUCUUGACAUCCUUUGACAACUCUAGAGAUAGAGCCUUCCCCUUCGGGGGACAAAGUGACAGGUGGUGCAUGGUUGUCGUCAGCUCGUGUCGUGAGAUGUUGGGUUAAGUCCCGCAACGAGCGCAACCCUUAAGCUUAGUUGCCAUCAUUAAGUUGGGCACUCUAAGUUGACUGCCGGUGACAAACCGGAGGAAGGUGGGGAUGACGUCAAAUCAUCAUGCCCCUUAUGAUUUGGGCUACACACGUGCUACAAUGGACAAUACAAAGGGCAGCGAAACCGCGAGGUCAAGCAAAUCCCAUAAAGUUGUUCUCAGUUCGGAUUGUAGUCUGCAACUCGACUACAUGAAGCUGGAAUCGCUAGUAAUCGUAGAUCAGCAUGCUACGGUGAAUACGUUCCCGGGUCU
rnacentral:rRNA from 1 species